rnacentral:rRNA from 1 species
AGAGUUUGAUCAUGGCUCAGGACGAACGCUGGCGGCGUGCCUAACACAUGCAAGUCGAGCGAAGUGACUCGGAGAGAAGUUUUCGGAUGGAUCGAAGAGUCAUCUUAGCGGCGGACGGGUGAGUAACGCGUGAGAAACCUGCCUUUCACAAAGGGAUAGCCUCGGGAAACUGGGAUUAAUACCUUAUGAAACUGAAUUACCGCAUGGUAGAUCAGUCAAAGCGAAUAAGCGGUGAAAGAUGGUCUCGCGUCCUAUUAGCUAGUUGGUGAGGUAACGGCUCACCAAGGCUUCGAUAGGUAGCCGGCCUGAGAGGGUGAACGGCCACACUGGAACUGAGACACGGUCCAGACUCCUACGGGAGGCAGCAGUGGGGAAUAUUGCACAAUGGAGGAAACUCUGAUGCAGCGACGCCGCGUGAAUGAUGAAGGCCUUCGGGUUGUAAAGUUCUGUCCUUGGGGAAGAUAAUGACGGUACCCAAGGAGGAAGCCCCGGCUAACUACGUGCCAGCAGCCGCGGUAAUACGUAGGGGGCGAGCGUUGUCCGGAAUUAUUGGGCGUAAAGGGUUCGCAGGCGGUCUGAUAAGUCAGAUGUGAAAGGCGUAGGCUCAACCUACGUAAGCAUUUGAAACUGUCAGACUUGAGUUAAGGAGAGGAAAGUGGAAUUCCUAGUGUGGCGGUGAAAUGCGUAGAUAUUAGGAGGAAUACCAGUGGCGAAGGCGACUUUCUGGACUUAUACUGACGCUGAGGAACGAAAGCGUGGGGAGCAAACAGGAUUAGAUACCCUGGUAGUCCACGCCGUAAACGAUGAGUGCUAGGUGUUGGGGGUCAAACCUCGGUGCCGCAGCUAACGCAUUAAGCACUCCGCCUGGGGAGUACGUACGCAAGUAUGAAACUCAAAGGAAUUGACGG